GACGAACGCUGGCGGCGUGCUUAACACAUGCAAGUCGAACGGUGAAGGGGUCUGCUUUUGUGGGCCCUGGAUGAGUGGCGAACGGGUGAGUAACACGUGAGUAACCUGCCCCCUUCUUCUGGAUAACCGCAUGAAAGUGUGGCUAAUACGGGAUAUUCUGGGUCUGUCGCAUGAUGGGUCUGGGAAAGAUUGCGCCUUUGGGUGUUUUUGGUGGGGGAUGGGCUCGCGGCCUAUCAGCUUGUUGGUGGGGUGAUGGCCUACCAAGGCGGUGACGGGUAGCCGGCCUGAGAGGGUGGACGGUCACACUGGGACUGAGACACGGCCCAGACUCCUACGGGAGGCAGCAGUGGGGAAUAUGGCACAAUGGGCGCAAGCCUGAUGCAGCGACGCCGCGUGAGGGAUGGAGGCCUUCGGGUUGUAAACCUCUUUCGCCAGUGAAGCAGGCCUGCUCCUUGUGGGUGGGUUGACGGUAGCUGGAUAAGAAGCGCCGGCUAACUACGUG
rnacentral:rRNA from 1 species